CUGGUGGAAAUGAAGCAGUAUCUGUUGGGGUUGUUAGGUAAUAAUGGCGGGUUAAAUAGAGGUGGCUUACUUCCACCCCUCCUCCCAAACCCCCUACUUUCACCACUCUUCCGUCCUCACUCCCCUCUAAAUAUUGGGGAGCUUUUAGAACGAGUGGUUGUCACCAGGUGGCAGCACAGACACAAAUUCUUCUCUCACAUACAAGCAAUAUCAGAUAUACCUACAGAUAUACCCUAUCCAUGAAGCCCUCAAAAAUAUGUGGCCUCAUGCUGGUCACCAUCUUCUCUGUUGAUAACACCGAGUGACUUCACAUGCACUGAGGAUCUUUGCAGGCUGCUGAGUGGUGGUGGUGGUUGCUGGUGUCCAGGUGUGGGAAUACGUGUCAAGUCACCGACCCCUCCCAGCACUGGCCAAACUCUCUCUCUCUCUCUCUCUCUCUCUCUCUCUCUCUCUAGAGUGAAAUAGUUAUCCAAACAGCCUAUUAAAGAGAGAGAGAGAGAGAGAGAGAGAGAGAGAGAGAGAGAGAGAGAGAGAGAGAGAGAGAGAGAGAGACGAAGGGGAGGGAAGGCCCACAGCCAAAACGUGUGAAUGGAUUUACUUGGUCCCCUUCCUUUGAGUGAACUGCCGCCCUUCGUAUGGAAACUUUUACUUGUUAAGUUAAUCCACCAAAGAUUAGAAGAUGUGGAAGGUUGAGUGGAAAAAGACCUGCCCUGGGCCCAUCAUUUUUGUGGUAACACGGAGAGCAAGUGGAAGAAACCUUGGGAGACUUCCAUGACUCAGGAACAAGCACACCUCACUGGGAGCCUUGUGACUGAUAGGUGGUUCAGACUGACUGGGAGACAUGACGUCAGUGCCACCACGCAGGGAGUAAAACCAAGAGGAGGAAGAGGAGCAUUCAUGAGACAUCAGCUGGUCAGCAGUCCAUUCAGUUUCACAACAGGAAGUGAAGGAUGAAGCAUGAAGGUUUUAGGCCAAAAUGAACAGACAGCAAUCAGGAAUGACACGUCCAGCAAAACCGGCAACACAGCAACACACACACACACACCCAGGCUUCCAAGUUGAUAAUCCAAAAGCCAGCAUAUGACAGCUUCCUUCCAGCACACACUUGUAUUGCCCAACUUGACCUGCCUGAAUACAAGCUGAUACAGUCCAUGCAGCAGGGAGUGCAGCCUCUACAAGUGGUGGAGGGCAUGGACACUUGGAUAUGGAUGACACUGGUUUGGGUGCCAAAUAUUAAUAGUGCACCUACACAAUUACCACACUCGCUCCUCUCACCAGGCUUAACUAUAAAUAAUUAAAGGUAAAUAACAUCUGUCAUCUAUUAUCUAUUGUAUUCUAUAUUGCUGUUAAUGUUUCAUGUAUAAUGUCUUUGCUUUCAAAUGCAAGUCAAAAGGGUGAACCCCAUUUAUAGUACUAUUCACGUUUGGCAAAUUUCACUUUUGACAUUGGUUUGGCUACACUAAUUAAACUGCUAACAGUGAGGGACUACUGUAAAUGUAGUAAUAAUUAUAAUAAUAAUAAUAAUAAUAAUAAUAAUAAUAAUAAUAAUAAUAAAAAGUAAUGAUAAAGUGCAAGACAUGUUCAUUAACGCAAUUAUUUUCUCCAAC